CGAGUUGGCCGGGCGGCCGCGGCACCGGAAGGUGUCGAGGAAAGUCCGGACUUCACAGAGCAGGGUGAUUGCUAACGGCAAUCCGAGGUGACUCGCGGGAAAGUGCCACAGAAAACAGACCGCCGCCGUAAGGCGGUAAGGGUGAAAUGGUGCGGUAAGAGCGCACCAGCAUCCCGGGUGACCGGGGUGGCUUGGUAAACCCCACCCGAAGCAAGGCCAAGAAGGCCGCAACCUGGUUGCGGCUGCGCAGGUGCCCGAGGGCUGCUCGCCCGAGCCUGCGGGUAGGCCGCUUGAGGUACCCGGCAACGGUGUGCCCAGAUGGAUGGUCGCCGCCCCGCUACCAGCAAUGGUCGCGGGGAACAGAAUCCGGCUUACAGGCCAACUCGUCCG
rnacentral:RNase_P_RNA from 1 species